AAAAGCAAAGAGGAGGGACUUGGCCAAUAAGGAGGUCAGAACCAGGGAUGAAUGUGUCAGCGUUGAUUCUGCAUCACUCAGGCGGAGCCACUUUCCCUGGUGAACUGAGCCCCAUGCUGCAGAGAGGAUAAGCUCUUCAUAGCCGGUUCUCUUGUGGCUCCCACCCCCUCGCACUGAUCCCAGCUCAGACUAAGAAGUCAUGUGCUCCAACCUGUUGUCGCCACUCAUCCCCUUUCCGUGGAGUUAACGACAAUGAUUCCGUAGCACACCGGUCAGCCCAGGCUGCCAUACCCAGCACCACAGACCGAGACCCUAUACAACACACUUAUUUUCUCACAGUUAUGGAGGCUGGGAAGCCCGAGAUCCAGAUGCAGCUGAUUGAAUUUCUAGCAAUGACAAUUUGCAAGUCUGGAUUGACUGGAAAUGAGUCUUAUUAAUGAAGUUGUCAGCACGAAGGUGGCAGAAGGAGAUCGUGUGCCAGGUGACGUUUUGGAUUCAGAAGGAAGAGACCUAGAUUCUAACUCCAAUGCCGAGGCUCGCCUUAUAAAACAAAGACCUUAUGCCUCAUUUAUAAAACAAAGACCAUAAGAGACAGCAAUAAGGACGGAUGCUUCCAAGGCUUUUUUAGGAUGAGGAAGAUGCUGAAUAAAUGAAAGGCAUGCUUGGAAAUAUAUUCCAGAUAGCUCAAAGACGGUGACCUGGGCCAUGUUGAAAAGUAACCUACAUAACCUACACCGAAAUGACUGGAUCAUCGACAUUCCCCUGGACUCGUUGAUAGACUAAGGAUGCAGAGAUUGUCCAGUUGCAUCACUGAUGGGACCAAAUAGACCGUGAUUUGCAAUAAAUACAUUUAAGUAUUUAUUUAUUUGUAUUUCUAUGGGAGCAGGUAAGCAUAAAGAUAUUACCAUAAACCAGAAGUGC